AAAUUAAUUCUCAAGUCAUUUUCAUACUCAAUAAGAAAACACAUUUAUUUUCGAAUGUGACUCAUUCCUCUAACUUUAUCAUUUUCAUCCAUUUUUGUUCAUUUGAUUCUUUAUGCAAUUCAUUUCUGGUUUUAACGCUGGUUUUAACGAGCUAGUAGAGGGAUUGAUUAGACAUAUUUAAUUAGGCUCAAAAGAUUUACAAGCAAGUUCCAUCUUUUCGCCUAUUAAUUAUAAACUCAUUUAGUUAUAGUUGCAAAUGCCCAAAUUUACCUGGAGCCCAACAACCAAAAAAACAAAUAUUAAACAAUCCACUUACAUCAGCCUAAAUAAAAACUAAACAGGCCCAAAACUAAAAACCCUAGCCCAAAAACUUAUAAAUUUUUCAGAAACCUAACCCUAACACCCCCAUGUGCGUCGCUCCUCCUUCGGUUACCCCGCCUGCGCCUCGCCCGAGGCCUGGCAUUCUAGAUUGCCACCACCUGCUCCCUAUUCGUUGACCAUGCCUAGCCCUGCAACAGUGAUGAGAGAAAGAGACAAAAACAGUGAUAGAAAGAAAGCAAAUAGAAGCAAAAGAAAAAUUGAUAUUUUGUAAUAUUCAAUGCUUAUAAACGCCAUUCCAAAACCAAUGUAAAAGGGGACGGGUACAUGCAUUUUUAAAAUACAAUAGAAGCAAUUAAUAGAUAAAAGGUGGUGCUUUAUUUUAUUCUUUUUUAAUUUAUUUUCCAUUUUUGAUUUUUGGCUUUAGUUUCAAAAAAUAAGAAAAUAAAAAGGGGUUACCUGAGUCAUCUCCGAUGAGAACCCGAAUACCUCGGAAACGUGAAGGUUCGGGCGAGGGAUCGAACGGUGUUGAAACCUCAUUUGUUUUUUAUGAAUCUCGCUCUUUAUUUCUUAAAAUAAACGUAGUAUUCGAAGUUUUUUUUAAAUAAAAGAAGGGGGUUGGAAAGGGGUCAAAAAGACUCGAUUUUGGCACUUCCGGCCACCACCAUGGCGGAGUUACGGUGGUGGCUUGCUGGAUUUGGUCGAAGAAGAAGGGAGGGAGAAAGAGCCAAGAGAACCCUCUAAAUCUUUUUUUUUAAUGCACUGC
rnacentral:lncRNA from 1 species